ACCCGCCUGCACGAAGCCGGAGUUGCUAGUAAUCGCGAAUCNGAAUGUCGCGGUGAAUGCGUUCCCGGGUCUUGUACACACCGCCCGUCACACCAUGGAAGUUGGGGGUGCCCAAAGCCGGCAAGCAAAUAUGCUGUCUAAGGCAAAACCAAUGACUGGGGUGAAGUCGUAACAAGGUAAC
rnacentral:rRNA from 1 species